rnacentral:rRNA from 1 species
UACGGGGGGGGCAAGCGUUGUUCGGAAUUACUGGGCGUAAAGGGCGCGUAGGCGGCCUGCUAAGUCGGACGUGAAAUCCCCCGGCUCAACCGGGGAACUGCGUCCGAUACUGGUGGGCUCGAAUCCGGGAGAGGGAUGUGGAAUUCCAGGUGUAGCGGUGAAAUGCGUAGAUAUCUGGAGGAACACCGGUGGCGAAGGCGGAUCUCUGGGCCUUACCUGACGCUGAGGCGCGAAAGCUAGGGGAGCGAACAGG